rnacentral:rRNA from 1 species
CCCCACUGCUAUCGAGGUGAGACUUAGCCAGGCCAGUCGAACGACUCGGACUAUGGCGAGAAGUGGCAAACUGCUCAGUAACACGUAGCUAACCUACCCUCAGGACGGAGACAACCCCGGGAAACUGGGGUUAAUCCCUGAUAGGCGUGGAUUCCUGGAAUGGUGUCACGCCGAAACGUUAACACACCAUGUUUGUGUACACGCCUGAGGAUGGGGCUGCGGCCGAUCAGGCAGUUGGUGAGGUAACGGCUCACCAAACCUUUGACCGGUACGGGCCGUGAGAGCGGUAGCCCGGAGAUGGACACUGAGACAAGGGUCCAGGACCUACGGGUCGCAGCCGGUACGAAACCUCCACAAUGCACGCAAGUGCGAUGGGGUUACCUCGAAUGCCGCCUGAAGAAGGCGGCUUUUCCAUUGUGUAAUGAGCCGUGGGAAUAAGGGGGGGGCAAGACUGGUGUCAGCCGCCGCGGUAACACCAGCCCCCCGAGUGGUGGGGAUGUUUAUUUGGCCUAAAACGUCCGUAGCCAGCUAGGUAAAUCUCUCGUUAAAUCCAGCGUCCUAGGCGUUGGGCUGCGAGAGAGACUGCCAAGCUAGAGGGUGGGAGAGGUCAGCGGUAUUUCUGGGGUAGGGGCGAAAUCCAUUGAUCCCAGGAGGACCACCAGUGGCGAAGGCUGCUGACUAGAACACGCCUGACGGUGAGGGACGAAAGCUGGGGUAGCGAAUCGGAUUAGAUACCCGAGUAGUCCCAGCCGUAAACGAUGCAGGCUAGGUGUUGGGUUGGCCACGUGCCGACUCAGUGCCACAGGGAAGCCAUUAAGCCUGCUGCCUGGGGAGUACGGUCGCAAGGCUGAAACUUAAAGGAAUUGGCGGGAGAGCACCACCAGGCGUGAAGCCUGCGGUUUAAUUGGAUUCAACGCCGG